GACGAGGGGUCCAAGCGUUGUUCGGAAUCAUUGGGCGUAAAGCGGGUGUAGGUGGCUCUGUAAGUCAGGAGUGAAAGCCCCAGGCCUAACCUGGGAAGUGCUUUUGAUACUGCAGAGCUUGAGUGUGGGAGAGGAUCGUGGAAUUCCUGGUGUAGUGGUGAAAUACGUAGAUAUCAGGAGGAACACCUGUGGCGAAAGCGGCGCACUGGACCAUAACUGACGCUGAGGCGCGAAAGCUAGGGGAGCAAACAGG
rnacentral:rRNA from 1 species